AUUGCUGAUAAAAUAACAAUUAGAGCAAAUGUCUUUCUAAUUGAGGUUCUGCUUUACUUCAUCGAUUAUAUCUUAAAGUUAUAUAAUUAUAAUUAGUUCUAUUAACUAACAUUAUUAUUCGUUAAAUUUAUUCGUUACAAUUUUAGACUGGAUACGUAAUAUAAUAUUAAGUAACAAUUAGCUGACGAACGGAUCGGUAAUUACAAGCCUAUAUAAUCGUUGGGCCGAUAUGUGUUAGUAUAGAAAUUGUGAAGGGCACAAACUAAAGGCCAAUUUACACGGGCGAUUUUUUCUGCGAUUUCAGUUGCGAUUUUCUCCUUUUUGGAGGAUGUGAAUUAAUUGGUAAAUCACGCACUGAGAUCUGUUCAUAUCGACUAUACACGAGUGGAUCACGAGUGACCACAAAUAACCAAGGUGACCACCAAUGCACCAAGAGUGACUACGAAAGACCACCAGUGAUCACGAGUCACGUUGACCGGUAAAACGUUUCGGAAUAACAUAUGUCAUCAUAAAAGGCAAAAAAAAUUUUCGAUGUAUCUCUCCAUAUAAACUCAUCGUCACUAAAAUUUGCAUGGAGUCGAAAACUGAUACUUUGUGGUCGACUUUUACUUACAUUUGUGGUCACCUGUGGUCCUCAUUUGUGCAUUUUUACAGGGUGUCUAAGAAAACGCUAUGGAAAUUCAACAGGCUGUCGUGCAUCAUAAACUUAGCUAAAUAAUUCAAUUUUUACAUAGGACGAACAAGUUGUAAUUUAAGUUCUCUAUGAUAGCUUUUCUAAAUCGUAACGAUGAGAAAUCGCCGGAUAUAGACCAAUUGCGAAACUUAGUGACCGCGCCUUCAACUGCCGAAAACAAGGCUUAUUAUGCAAAAACAAAUCAUUCUGCUAUAUUUUUAUAUGGCGAAAAAUGAAUUUCAGUGCUUGAGACGCGUUUUUAUGGUAAUCUCUUUAUUUUUUCAAUAUUUUUGUUUUGACUAUGUAAAUCUAGUCUUACUUCAAAUUUCAU